GGAACCCGGGUCUUUGACUGGUCAUCACCAUUGUGAAGACGACAGAGCCAGCCUGGGCCUGAAUCUUGGUGCCACUUCUCGCUAACCACGAGACCUGGGCUAAGCCACUUCACCCCCUGUGCUUGGGUUUCUCCACUUGUACGAUGAGGUUAAUAAUAAUGACUCCCUGUGAGCAUGAAAUGAGCCUCUGGACAUGCUGAAGGUCUUACCUGUGGUGACAGGGCCUUUAACCUCAUGAAAAGCCAGCCCUCUCGGAGGAUUCCUUGAAAAUCCGAAGGAAUGUUGAACAAGGCAAGUUGCCUCAUCAACCGUUGCCAUGGCCUCCGCUCCCAUCUUUCUUCCUCCCUGGUGGCAACCGUUUUGGGCAAUAGGGGAAUCCCGUGAAAGACUCUGCAUGGAGGGGCAGGGGUCAAGGAGUCCUGCUGAUGUAGUUUUGGAAUGUAGGUGAGGUUUGAUGGGAUGGGGUCUGGAGCUGACGACCAAGAAAGAAUUCUUGAGAUGUCUUUGGUGCAAAAUGGUGGUUUUAUUAAAGCACGAAGACAGGACUGCUGCCCCAGGGUUGUGAGGGGCAGCUCAUUAUAUCCCGGGAGUUGAAGGAGAUAAGGAAAAGGGAGAUUUUUAAAGAAAUUUCAUAUGCUAAGGAGGACCUACAAGAUACUGGAGGCCUCGUCUUUCUGAAAGUUAAGGUUGUUCAUUCCUCUAGUAAAGCAUUGACAUUAAGAUAGUUGGGAGGUGCCUUCUGGAAGUUAGGUUAUUGACAAGAAUGCUUUUUUCUUGUAAAUCCCUAAGAUGUUUGGUAACCUGAGGGAGACUCAUGUCUACAGGACUAUAAUCUCAAUAAAUUAACUAUUUGUUUUUCCUUUCCCUUAGCUUUAGGGCAGCCAAGAGUGUCUGAGGAAUGUCACACACAUCCCACCGGGUAGGUGGGUGGGGUCAUUUGUGGGGUGUCAGCUUGUGGUUUGUCCUCAGCUAGCCUUCUGUUCCCUCAUCAGUGUUACUGGACGCUCAGCGUGGGUCAAACCAAUCAUGACCAUACAACUGAAGGAAGGAAGAAAACCUCUGAUGAUCAUAAUACGGUUAUUAAUGCAAACUGGAAUGCUUCUACUGUUGGGGGACCAGGGCUAGCUGAAGACAAGGCACGAGCCUGGGGGAGCACAUGGACAAGUCCUCGAAACAGGCAGAGGGACCUUCCUCUACAGACUCAACCGCCUCGAUGUUCAUACUUCACUAAGGACAGAAGUCAUUCUUAGCUGCCCCCCAAGAGCCUGUACAUAAAACACAGACUCCUCGAUUUCAUAAAUGACGAAGUGACACAUGGAAAGACUAACUUGCACAUGACGACAAGCUGCUAAGUCUCAUAGCAGGAUGAGGACUGUCAACUGAUCACAGCCUUCUGAGAUUCUCAAGAAUAAGCAUCGUAUCAAUGAUAAAUAUUGCUUUUUUAUAAUACUCUCCAGAACAAGUAUAAUGGUAAGAAUCAAGCACAGAUAUCUAAAGUGACAUCCCAGAUGCUGUAGAAGAUGCAAAGAAAUAAACACAAGGCAUCUGUACUUAAGGGAUCCACAUCCUAGCUCAGAAAAUAAGACAAACAAUGAAAAAUAAUGCUGUAAGACAACACCCUGAGCUAUCAGCUGUCAAAGUGUUGGGAUCAUUAUUAAAGAUCAGAAUCCAUAUGGGUUGUUGAAGUAUAAACCUUGUACUUGGUCACACCGGAAACUGUAGUGAAAUUAAUCUCGGUCCAUAAAUCUAAACUACAAAAAAAAAAAAAAAAAGUCAAUUUCUUUAUUUUCUUAAAUGAAUACAAAUCCAGCUCCGUGCUAAAAUCAUAUGAUAGAAAAUAAACCACCAGAUCAUACAAAAAUCAUACAAAGAUCUCAGGCUCUUACAUUGUGCUGAAGAAUUGAGUAUCCCCUCUUCGGCAAGGCCUUUGGUCCAAAUCAUUGGUUCAUUCAUUGUCUGAGCCAACAUAAGCCCCAUCAAACUGGAAAUCCACAGGAUGCUGUGCCUCGGUCCAGCCUCCCCAGGUGCCACAAGAGGCAACCUCCUCCGAUGUUUUACCACCUCUCCAGAUGCUACCAUCAUCUGCAAAGGUUCCUGAUACUUGCAGAAUCCUAAAACAUCUGAAUUAUUCUAAAUCUGGAAGGCAAAAAAACUCCUCUCGCUUCUCUCUCUUCCCUUUUAGAGUUAACUCACAUCACCUCCACAACAAAUGUGUUUACAGAAGGAAGCAAGAGUUCUCAGCUUCAAGUAGAUUUAUUUUCUGCCUUGAAAAAAAAAAUCCCCAAAGUGAGAACAUCACUACCUGGUUAAAACGGGAAAGGAUACACUCACUGUAAGAAGAACAGUGUUAAAAACACAAAUUAAAAAUUACCACAGA